UCAACUUUCAAACCAAAGACAUGCAAAUGUAAAGGAUUUCUUAAGAAAUCAAAAAAUAAAUAAGGGCAAUUUUGUCCAUUUUUGCUUGUUUUAAAAAUUUUCUCUCUCCUUUGGGCUUUUCCAAAGUCUCCCUAAUACUUUACCAUGUGCCAAGAGAGAAAGCAAAUGAUGAAGGACAUAGCACAUCAUUAUUCUUACAAGUAGUUUUGAUUAUUUAUUUUUGCCCAAGCCCAAGCCCAAGCCCAAGGUACAGAAAUUCAUACAUACUAACGUUCACAUGACAUGACUAAGCGAAAAACAUUGUAUGCACCGGCUGUAUGCAAAAAUACAUCUGCCCUAAAAUGGGGUACCAAACUCGAGGACCUUCUUCCAAGAUGGUCUGUUGCUAAUAUCAUUCCACCAAGCAGAGACAUGCUUUCUGUCCUUUAUCAGAUACUCCUUCCCCAAAAGAGUCACCAUAUACUGAGUAAAUGGAAGGUGGCUAAGAUCAGCAAGGCUGAAGAAAUCACCAGCUAAGUACUUGCUCUUUGACAGCCUCUCCUCAUAAAUGUCCAACACCUUCCCUAGCUUUUCUUCACUCUCUUGAAUGACCUUGGGAUCUGAAGGAAAACCCAAUGCUGAGGCAAACAAAAUGUGAAGGACUAAGUUGUUGAGUGGUGGGUGGAAGUUGUGUGCUUCAACCUCUAGCCAUUGCUCAACUAGCCCUCUUUCCUCAAUUGUCUUCCCUAGCAAAGCAGUCCCUUGAGACUUGUAUUUUUCGGCAUAGUACCUUAUGAUUGCGCGUGAUUCUGCGGAUUAAAGACAGUUUUAUCAAAGAACUUGUUAGAUCAUUAUGUUGAUGAUGCUGAUAAGAAACCAGUGAACACUAUUGUCAAAGAAAAAAAUUUCAAAACUUUCUUACUUCCCAAACAGUACAAUCCCAAUUUGAUGCUCUACAGAGAUUCAAAUGAUGAAUUGAAGCAAACCCACAAAAUGGUAUGCUAAAAGAUGAAGAAAAAUGAAAUGUAACGCUAACUUUGAUCCCAAAAUUAAAGAUUUAGCAUACCAUAUAAAGUAUAAUCCCCAUCUUGAAUGAGAGGAACUGUUCCAAAGGGCUACAUUUAAAGACAAAAGCAAUACAAAUUAAGAUCAACCGUCAUAUAUACAGAUGAUAAAUAUGAUUUCCAAAGAGAUGAUGAGCAGAAACAAUCACAAAAGAUUGAAUUAAUAGCAAAAGGUGACCUGCAAUUUGAGAAAUUCAGGGUGUUUGUGCUCUCCCUUGAAGAGAUCAAUGGGAAUGGUCUCAAAGUCGACCUCUUUCUCAACAAGACACACCAGCACACGCUUCGGGGAAGCAUAGGCAGCGCCAUACACCUUUACCACCAUUCUUACUGUUUCAGCGAGAAACCAAGUAUUUAGAUCUCGGUCUGCAGAGUACCCUAGAUUUUGGUUUCUUAGUUCUUAUAGUAGUUAAGGUGUGAUAUGCUCAUGCUUUAAGGUGUGAUAUGCUCAUGCCUAGUGGUCCAAUAAUUGCCCUCUGCACUCCAAAACAGAUAAACUCAUAAGAUUUUUUGCGCACUCAGAUUUUUUGUUCUUUUCUUUUUUGAAGGCUGUGAGUAGCUAGUGAGUAGUAGGUAGGCGGUCACAUGAAGAUAAUUCUUUAACAGGUAAAAGACAAUUAUGAGUGGAUACUGCUUGUCCCCUCCGAAAUGAGAUAAUUCAUUAAAAACACAAAACAAAAACAAAAAUUAUACACACAUCACAUUAUACACGCGUCACAUUAUUGACAAGAAUAUAUAGACUCUAUUUAUAUAGUAAGGAGGAAAAUAUUUUUCAUUAUGGUAGCCUUUGACAUCAUAGUUCUAUUUAGGCUGCUGUGCAUUGCGUGAGCAAUUAAAAAAAGUGCCAAAGGGGUUCAGAAUGCAUGUGCCACCAUGCCAUUCAUGCACUCAAGUGAGGUUCUGAAAUUGUAUGAGAACAAUGCGUUUUGUAUGCUCCAAAUCAAAUGUAGCAUGAAAACAUUGUGUUUUGUAUUCACCAACCCAAAUAGCAUGAAAACAAUGUGCUACUGAACCAAAUAUUUUUGGAUUCUGAUUGAAUAUCUUGUAUGGGUAGCUUGGGCACAUUCACUAAUACGAGAUGCCAAAGUUCAAAUGAGUGAUAUGUAUGGGCCUCUCAACCGUCUUCAAUAGUCUAAAUUAUGAUAAAUGACAAUCAAACUUGCAUGGGAAUAGAAGCACUACUUUGAUCAAUGAGCCUCGCUCAUAUCUAUAAUCUACAAUUUAUUUUUUUAGGUAAUUACGAGGGAAUAACUCAUAAAAAUCCAUUGUAAAUUUGUUCAAUUUGUUAGAGGAAAAAAAAGGGACAAAAAAAAGGAGAGAGAUAUUUUUAAAAGAAUUCAAAAUGGACAAAAAUACCCUUAUUUAUUUAUGGAUUUCUUAAGAAAUCCUCUACAUGUGCAUGUCUUUGGUUUGAAAAUUGAGGAGUUUUUUUGUCUUUUUAAAAAAAAAAUUUAUUUUUUUCAAAAAUAAAAGAUUUUUUUGUGGCUAAAACCUAAAUUUAUUAAAAGGUUGAUAAAUCAGUUGCAAAGAUCUAUGAUCUUUUUGCAGGCUAUUCAAAGACAGAAACCAGUUUAGGCCCAAACUGACAGAUUGCUUCUCAGUGCUCAGUAGUCAGUAGUAAGCCACCAACCUUUCUAAAGUCCAGGCUCAACCCAAAAAUAUGAAUUAUACCAAGCCAUUAAUCAUGCACUCAAAUUACUCACCACACCCAUACCUUAAUCUAAAUAUUGGUUCAAAAACCUACCAUUGUCUAACAAAAAGCUUGUAGUUCAAGUGAUUAAGAGUAACUCCACCCAUUUGCCUUUAGCCAUGGCAAAGAGGGAGGUAGGGCAGUCACUAUUCACAUGAAUAGUGAUUGCCCUUGCAAAUAGUAUUUUGUGUUUCCACCUAUUGCCAUGGCUAAGGGCAAUUACUAUUCAUUUUUUUGUUUUUUCACAACUUUUUUUUACUUAAAUAAUUAAUUUGGAUAAUAUUUUCGGAUAAGAUUUUUGGGUUCCUACGUGUCAAUACUAUUCAUAUCGGAUAAGAUUUUAUUUUAUUAGUUGUAUUGGUUGGUAUUUAUAGAAAAAAAAAAGUAUGAGGAUUUUAUGUUAAAAGUGAAGAGUAUUGGUUGGUAUUUAUAGACACGGGCGGACCCAUAAUUUUUUUAGUGGAGGUGCAAUAUUGGCUAAGUAUGAAAAAUGGUUUUUCGGAAUAAUCAUUUUCUCAAGAUAAUUUUUGGCGGCUUUUAUUCCUUACACAUCAAAUAAGAAAACUUGAUUUUAUGGGAUUUUAAUAUGAAGUAUAUAUUGACUUAAUGAGCCAUCAUUUUUAGCCUAAAUUGUAUUUUGCACUAAAACCGAUUUUUCAUAUUUUGAUUUGGUGGGAAUUUGAUUUUCUAGUAUUUUUAUUUGAAUCCAAAUGGGGGGUACUUCCUUAUUUACAUUGUAAACUUAAGUAAAUGGAGUAAUAUAAAAAUAAAUGAAUGUAAACUUGUUGAAAAUGGAAAUAAGGUAUAGAGAGGAAAAUGUUGAGUAUAAAGAGUGAAUAAUGGUAGAAGUAAAAGAAAAUGUAAGAGGAUUGGUAUUGAAAGGUAUUUAUAGAAGAAAAAAUCUGACUUUUUAAGAAUUUUUUUUUAAAAAAAUUUAAUACUGGGCGAUGACGUCACGCUGACGCAAGCCGUGACGUCAUCAGCCUGGGUUUCGAAUGCGGGCUGAACUGGCCCUCGGGCCAGCCCGAGUUGGUGGGUCCCACACGCAACCCGGGCCUGGGCUCCCCGCUGGAACGAAUUUUUUUUUCGGCCCCCCCCCCAGCCUUGGGCUCGGUCUCUCCGGUGAAACCGCUCUAAGAGCAUUUAUCUCUACACUUGAGGUCCUAAGUUCGAUUUUCCUUCCCCAAUAAUGCUUGUAUCCAAAAAUUAAAAAAUUAAAAAAGUUUGGAUUAUACAAGAGGAGAAAUAACUACUGCCUUUAACAAACAAAACCUUUCCAACUCCAUCAUAUUAAUCCACUUGUACACCCGGAAUGGAUUACAGAUCCAGCAAGAAUGCUUUUUUAAGUCCUAAGAGAGAGCAAAUUACAAGGGGCGGAGCUUCUUAUUCCCACAAGUACUUUUGAUUAUUUAUUUUGGCCAAAGCCCCAAGGCAAAAGAAUUCUUGUGUACAACCAGUGAAUCCAACGUUCCUCCAACAAUAAUUCCCUCACAUGUCGUUCACGUGACAAAUUAUUACGAUACACAUUGUAUACACUGGUUGCAUGCAAAAAUUUCUUCCCAUACCUUAAAAUGGGGCACCAAACUGCUGGAGGACCUUCUUCCAAGAAGGUCUGUUGCUAAUAUCAUCCCACCAAGCAGAGACAUGCUUUCUGUCCUUUAUCAUAUACUCCUUCUCCAUACUAUUUGCCAAGUAGUAGGUGAAUGGAAGGUGGCUAAGAUCAGCAAGGCUGAAAAAAUCACCAGCCAAAUACUUGCUCUUCGACAGCCUCUCCUCGUAAACGUCCAACACCUUGCCAAG
rnacentral:lncRNA from 1 species